rnacentral:lncRNA from 12 species
AUGAGUGUGUUUGUGAGGGUUUCUUUCAACAGCUCUCUGUCUUCUAGCAUUGCUGGUCAAAGCAGUGGUGCUUAUCUUCUUGAGAAGGAUGAAGAUGCUGAAGAUGGUGCCAAGGAUCCUGUAACAGUUAGAGGAGCUUAUGCAUCUUUAAUCUACCUGAGACACCUCAGGAUCAGAGAACUUAAGCGUACCUGUCUGAGCAUGCUAAACUACCUGCGGUCAGUGGAGAGGACUCUGGUGAUGGACACCGCUGGUCUGGAGUUGGUUGGAGGAGAUCUGGUGAGAAGUAUGGAGGAGACAGGCUGGAUGAAUGCUGCUAGAGGAGACGAUGGCUCAAACGGAGCUCUUGGAUCACAUCACUACAUCUACAACAGCCCAGUUGACUAUAAGGUCCACUGUGCAGAGUUUAUGGAGUUUCCUGAGGUGGAGAACCUCCAUGACUAUUACAGCACAGACGGGAGCUGCAUCCACACACAGGACCAGCGAGGUCUCUACAUCAUCUAUGACGUGGCCCUGAUGGACCUGGAGGAGCUGGAGCAACAUCUGCUGCUCACAGCAUCUCAUUUCAUACAAAGGAGCAGAGAAUCACAUGCAUCAGAUGGAUCUGGAGGAGAACUUUAUUUCUUGGCUAGAAUGGAUGUAGAUCGGUUGGCCGUGCUUUUAGACAUAUGGACAUGUGAAACAGAAUUUCUGGAGCACAAAAUCCAGGUAUGUGUCAGGUAAAAUGCAUUUUCUUCCUGUGAUGCAAAGCUGGAUUUUCAGCAUCAUUACUCUAGUCUUCAGUGUCACAUGAUCCUUCAGAAAUCAUUCUUCUAAUAUGUUUUUAUCAAUGUUGAAAACAGUUGUGCUGCAUAUUUAAAAGAAGCUGUGAUAUGUUUUUUCAGAAUUCUUAGAGGAAUAUAAAGUUCAAAAGAACAGAAAUCUUUUGUAAAAUUAUAAAAGUGUUUACUGUCACUUUUGAUCAAUUUAAUGCAUCCUAGUUGAAUAAAAGCAUUAAUUUCUUUCCAAAAAAACAAAAAAACAUGACUGACCCGAAACAGUACUACUACUGAAAAGUAGUGAUAAA